rnacentral:rRNA from 1 species
CCUACGGUGGUCAGCAGUGGGGAAUAUUGGGCAAUGGGCGCAAGCCUGACCCAGCAACACCGCGUGAAGGAAGAAGGCUUUCGGGUUGUAAACUUCUUUUAAGAGGGAAGAGCAGAAGACGGUACCUCUUGAAUAAGCCACGGCUAACUACGUGCCAGCAGCCGCGGUAAUACGUAGGUGGCAAGCGUUGUCCGGAUUUACUGGGUGUAAAGGGCGUGUAGCCGGGCUGACAAGUCAGAUGUGAAAUCCGGGGGCUCAACCCCCGAACUGCAUUUGAAACUGUUGGUCUUGAGUAUCGGAGAGGCAGGCGGAAUUCCUAGUGUAGCGGUGAAAUGCGUAGAUAUUAGGAGGAACACCAGUGGCGAAGGCGGCCUGCUGGACGACAACUGACGGUGAGGCGCGAAAGUGUGGGUAUCAAACAGGAUUAGAUACCCGGGUAGUC